rnacentral:rRNA from 1 species
GACGAACGCUGGCGGCGUGCUUAACACAUGCAAGUCGAACGGAAAGGCCCUGCUUUUGUGGGGUGCUCGAGUGGCGAACGGGUGAGUAACACGUGAGUAACCUGCCCUUGACUUUGGGAUAACUUCAGGAAACUGGGGCUAAUACCGGAUAGGAGCUCCUGCUGCAUGGUGGGGGUUGGAAAGUUUCGGCGGUUGGGGAUGGACUCGCGGCUUAUCAGCUUGUUGGUGGGGUAGUGGCUUACCAAGGCUUUGACGGGUAGCCGGCCUGAGAGGGUGACCGGCCACAUUGGGACUGAGAUAGGGCCCAGACUCAGAGGGGAGGAAGCAGUGGGGAAUAUUGCACAAUGGGCGGAAGCCUGAUGCAGCAAUGCAGCGUGCGGGAUGAAGGCGAUCGGGUUGUAAACCGAUUUAGCAUGUGACGAAGCGUGAGUGACGGGAAUGGGUAAAGAAGAACAGGCUAAAUACGUG